ACUCAUUGGCUGGAGGUGAAGGGGAUGAUCCCAGUCAAACUUGUUCAUCGAGAGGUCUCUCUGGAUUUGGUCCUCUUGCACCUGAGGAUCAUAUAUGCUCAACCUAGCCUUAUCCCCCAACAGUCCCUUGCAUACAUCAAUAGCAGGGGUCUCUCGGGUAUCACCAGUGUCUUUCUUGAAAGCAAAACCUAGGAUUGCAACUUUCUUGUUUGAGACUGUGUUGAACAUAGAGGCUACAACGCGGUUGACAAAACGAUUCUUCUGAUAGUCAUUGAUCUUGAUAACUUGUUUCCAGUAUUCAGCAACCUCAGGCAGACCAUUGCACUCNNNNNNNNNNNNNNNNNNNNNNNNNGCAAAUGUAAACCAGGUUCAGAAUAUCCUUCUGGAAGCAAGAUCCACCAAAACCAACACUAGCGUUGAGGAACUUGGGACCAAUCCUUGAGUCCUUACCAACAGCAUAUGACACCUGUGAAACAUUUGCGCCAGUAGCCUCACAUAGAGCUGACAUAGCAUUCACCGAAGAGAUUCUUUGUGCCAAGAAUGCAUUGGCAGCCAACUUUGAGAGCUCAGCGGACCACAAGUUGGUGGUAAUGAUACAGUCUUCAGGAACCCAAUGAGCAUAAACAUCCUUCAAUGUUUGGAUAGCCUUCUGGCCUCCUGGAGUUUCCCGGCCUCCAAUUAGGACUCUGUCAGGUUUAAAGAGGUCUUCGAUUGCGGUACCCUCUGCAAGAAAUUCAGGGUUUGAGAGGAUCUGGAAGUUAAUUCCCUUGCUGUUGUGGGUCAAGAUUUUUUCAAUUGCCUCAGCAGUUUUGACUGGAACAGUUGAUUUCUCAACAACUAUUUUGUCAGAUUUCGAGACAUCGGCAAUCAUACGGGCUGCACUCUCCCAGUAAGUAAGAUCUGCAGCCUUGCCUGCUCCAAGACCCCUAGUCUUGGUAGGAGUGUUGACAGAAACAAAAACUAUAUCAGCCUCACGUACAUGUUUCUCCACAUCUGUGCUGAAGAAGAGGUUCUUGCCUCGGCACUGCUUAACUACAUCGUCAAGGCCUGGCUCAUAGAUGGGAAGCUGGUCACUGUUCCAGGCAGUGAUGCGAGGCACGGAGAUAUCAACAACAGCCACUUCAAUGUUAG
rnacentral:lncRNA from 1 species